GGGCUCAAUGGACAUAGCCCACUAAGCCCAAGCAAGCCUAGCUAUAUUAUCCUGCUCAUUAUUCCAUCAAAUUACUAAAGUCACAUUUCAUAAUUUAGAAUCCAGUUAAUGCUAUUCAUUCCCAACUUAUAGUGGCAUUACCAACUAAUAUACAUGUGUUGUCUAAACAUAUGUCUUAAUAAUUUACAUUGAGUCUGUCUAUACACAACAAAAGAGUACUCGACUUCCAGCGGAGAGACUCAGACAAAUGUACAGCUACUGAAUGCUGAGAC
rnacentral:lncRNA from 1 species